rnacentral:rRNA from 1 species
AAACCAGCACCUCAAGUGGUCAGGAGGAUUAUUGGGCCUAAAGCAUCCGUAGCCUGUUCUAUAAGUUUCCGGUUAAAUCCAUUAGCUCAACUAAUGGGCUGCCGGAAAUACUGUAGAACUAGGGAGUGGGAGAGGUAGACGGUAUUCGGUAGGAAGGGGUAAAAUCCUUUGAUCUAUUGAUGACCACCUGUGGCGAAGGCGGUCUACCAGAACACGUUCGACGGUGAGGGAUGAAAGCUGGGGGAGCAAACCGGAGUAGAAACCCCAGUAGUCC